rfam:Herpetomonas megaseliae 5S ribosomal RNA gene and intergenic region, partial sequence.
AGGUACGUUCAUACUUUGCUGAAUACACCAUAUCCCGUCCGAUUUGUGAAGUUAAGCAGCUAUAGGCCACGUUAGUACUAAGGUUAGUGAUAACUUGGGAACCCGCGGUGAUGUACCUC